rnacentral:tRNA from 1 species
ACCUGGCUGGCUUAGUCGGUAGAGCAUGUGACUCUUGAUCUCAGGGUUGUGAAUUAGAGUCCCGUGUUGAGUA